AUUUAUAUAAUUUAAAUAAAAUAUUACAUUUUCACUGUAAAAAUAAAAUUAUAAUUUUUAUAAAUU
rnacentral:tRNA from 1 species